UACGGAGGGAGCUAGCGUUGUUCGGAUUUACUGGGCGUAAAGGGCGCGUAGGCGGCAAUUCAAGUCAUCUGUGAAAUCUCCGGGCUUAACUCGGAAUGGUCAGGUGAUACUGCUUUGCUAGAGUGCAGAAGGGGCAAUCGGAAUUCUUGGUGUAGCGGUGAAAUGCGUAGAUAUCAAGAGGAACACCUGAGGUGAAGACGGGUUGCUGGGCUGACACGUGACGCUGAGGCGCGAAAGCUAGGGGAGCAAACGGG
rnacentral:rRNA from 1 species